rnacentral:lncRNA from 1 species
AAAAAAAUUUUUAACAUUAUGAUAUUUUAUUAAAAGAGAAUUAUAAACUUCACUACAACAAUUGUCUUUUAAAAAAAUCUCUGAAUAUCAGAGCAUAUUAUGUAACAAACAGGAGCAAUGUAAAACUGCGCAUUGUUCAAAGGCUAUAAUUACAAAAGAUGGCAUACCUAUUGGUUGUUUUAAAACCUCUUAUCCCUACAGCACAACCAUACCUUUCACCACCGUACCUUUCACACUACACAUGAACAAUAUUAUUUAGUCACCACCAUACCUUUCAUAUUACAGAUGACCAGCAUUAUUUAAUAUAAAGACUGUAAGUCAUAAGACCAUGGCAAAUGAGUAAAAUCAAAUUCUUAAACGAUGCAAAAAUAUAUGAAACUUCUAAUCAACAUCAGGAUAUAGGAGUAAACGUUGAGACACUGAAAUUUGACAUUUAUAAAAAUUAAAUCUUACAAAUAUAAAAGUAGAUAAUAAAUCUGCAUUUAAAAUUACAUUUACCAAUACAAUAUUGCAACUAUCUUCCAAUUAAAAACAUUUUUAAAAUUACAACAUUCAUGGAAAUAUUUACAGAUGAUAUAGAACCAUAAUAAAUAAGGCAGAUAAUUUCAGUAGCAAAUACCUCAGACUUUGAUAAUGCUUCCUAUUAUAAUAGAACACUCUAUUUAAUUUUCUCAUCUCUGUAGUU